rnacentral:rRNA from 1 species
AUGCUGAAACUACCAAGUGAUGUUCUUGAUCCAUUCAGCAGGCAAAACAAAGAAGAAACUGAAUCAAAAGACAAUUUGAACCCUCCAAAAAUUGAAGCCAGGACUUCACCAGAGCAUGGUGGAAGUGUGGAUCUUGGCACUGCAGUGGCGACAGUCCUGGCGGUCAGGUGGUGUGUCGUUGAACGGCCCAAUGUGGCGACGGUGAACUGCUUGGGCGCUUCGGUUACAGAGCCCCACCGAGAAGAGGAGGUGGAGGAGGGGCGUGGAUCCAGGGACGGUGACCCGUCGACGGGCAGGGGAUGGCUCGGGGGUGGCCCGCGUGUGACCCUACUCGAGACGGUGGCCGCCGAUCCGCGUGUGAUCCUGCUCGAGAGGGUGGCCGCCGAUCCGCGGGUGCGUCGGUGGCCGGCGAGGUUGGAUCUUGGCGGCGAGGAAUGGCGGCAGCGACACCCUGGGGGAGAUGGCGCCGGCGGCGCGCCGGGGCAGUUGGCAGCGUUGGCCGUGGGAGCAGGCCUGGACCCGACCGCGGGAUAG